rnacentral:tRNA from 1 species
GGAGGGUACAGCUCAGUGGUAGAGCACAUGCUUAGCAUGCAUGAGGUCCUGGGUUCAAUCCCCAGCACCUCCA